rnacentral:rRNA from 1 species
UGAGUAACCUGCCCUGGACUUUGGGAUAACCCUCGGAAACGGGGGCUAAUACCGGAUAUGACGGCUCACCGCAUGGUAUGGUUGUGGAAAGUUUUUCGGUCUGGGAUGGGCUCGCGGCCUAUCAGCUUGUUGGUGGGGUGAUGGCCUACCAAGGCGACGACGGGUAGCCGGCCUGAGAGGGUGACCGGCCACACUGGGACUGAGACACGGCCCAGACUCCUACGGGAGGCA